rnacentral:ncRNA from 1 species
AGUUCCAUUUGAGAUUAAUAGGGAAAUUGGUGAAAGUCCAAUACGAUCCCGUCACUGUGAUAAAGGGUUUGCAUUCAAUCCACUGAGUAUGUUUUGCUUGGGAAGGGAGUGUAAACAAUGCUUUUUAGUCAGGAGACCUGCUUUUAUAAU